CGCUAGGUACGGUCGGAAAUCGUGCUGAUAGUGCAAUGGCAUAAGCGUGCUUAACUGCGAGACCGACAAGUCGAGCAGGUGCGAAAGCAGGUCAUAGUGAUCCGGUGGUUCUGUAUGGAAGGGCCAUCGCUCAACGGAUAAAAGGUACUCUGGGGAUAACAGGCUGAUACCGCCCAAGAGUUCAUAUCGACGGCGGUGUUUGGCACCUCGAUGUCGGCUCAUCUCAUCCUGGGGCUGUAGCCGGUCCCAAGGGUAUGGCUGUUCGCCAUUUAAAGAGGUACGUGAGCUGGGUUUAAAACGUCGUGAGACAGUUUGGUCCCUAUCUGCCGUGGGCGUUGGAUAUUUGAAGGGGGCUGCUCCUAGUACGAGAGGACCGGAGUGGACGAACCUCUGGUGUACCGGUUGUCACGCCAGUGGCAUCGCCGGGUAGCUAUGUUCGGAAGAGAUAACCGCUGAAAGCAUCUAAGCGGGAAACUCGCCUUAAGAUGAGAUAUCCCUGGGGACUAGAUCCCCUUGAAGGGUCGUUCGAGACCAGGACGUUGAUAGGUCAGGUGUGUAAGCGCAGUAAUGCGUUCAGCUAACUGAUACUAAUUGCCCGUAAGGCUUGAUCCUAUAACG
rnacentral:rRNA from 1 species